rnacentral:ncRNA from 1 species
CAGCGGACGACCGCUGUCGCAGCAUAUAUCACGGGACGACCCGU